GGUCAUUUAGAGGAAGUAAAAGUCGUAACAAGGUUUCCGUAGGUGAACCUGCGGAAGGAUCAUUACCGAGUGAGGGCCCUUUGGGUCCAACCUCCCACCCGUGUUUAUUUACCUCGUUGCUUCGGCGGGCCCGCCUUAACUGGCCGCCGGGGGGCUCACGCCCCCGGGCCCGCGCCCGCCGAAGACACCCCCGAACUCUGCCUGAAGAUUGUCGUCUGAGUGAAAAUAUAAAUUAUUUAAAACUUUCAACAACGGAUCUCUUGGUUCCGGCAUCGAUGAAGAACGCAGCGAAAUGCGAUACGUAAUGUGAAUUGCAAAUUCAGUGAAUCAUCGAGUCUUUGAACGCACAUUGCGCCCCCUGGUAUUCCGGGGGGCAUGCCUGUCCGAGCGUCAUUGCUGCCCUCAAGCCCGGCUUGUGUGUUGGGCCCCGUCCUCCGAUUCCGGGGGACGGGCCCGAAAGGCAGCGGCGGCACCGCGUCCGGUCCUCGAGCGUAUGGGGCUUUGUCACCCGCUCUGUAGGCCCGGCCGGCGCUUGCCGAUCAACCCAAAUUUUUAUCCAGGUUGACCUCGGAUCAGGUAGGGAUACCCGCUGAACUUAAGCAUAUCAAUAAGCGGAGGA
rnacentral:rRNA from 1 species